UGGCGGCAGGCCUAACACAUGCAAGUCGAGCGGUAACAUUUCUAGCUUGCUAGAAGAUGACGAGCGGCGGACGGGUGAGUAACGCGUAGAAAUCUACCUAGUAGUGGGGGAUAGCCCAGAGAAAUUUGGAUUAAUACCGCAUACGCCCUACGGGGGAAAGCGGGGGAUCUUCGGACCUCGUGCUAUUAGAUGAGUCUGCGUCGGAUUAGCUUGUUGGUGAGGUAAUGGCUCACCAAGGCGACGAUCCGUAGCUGGUCUGAGAGGAUGACCAGCCACACUGGAACUGAGACACGGUCCAGACUCCUACGGGAGGCAGCAGUGGGGAAUAUUGCACAAUGGGCGCAAGCCUGAUGCAGCCAUGCCGCGUGUGUGAAGAAGGCCUUAGGGUUGUAAAGCACUUCCAGCAGUGAGGAAAGGGGUGUCGUUAAUAGCGCCAUCCUGUGACGUUAACUGCAGAAGAAGGACCGGCUAACUCCGUG
rnacentral:rRNA from 1 species